AAACUAGAAAAGUCGGUGAUGUAAUUGUAGGAAAAUAUAAUAAUAAUAAUAACAAUGGGAUUUCAGACAGCAAUAAAAAAUUUAAAUAUGUAAAUAUUGUAAUUUUGAAUCAGCCAUUUAAAUUGAAUGAUAGAAUUAAACCAAUCAGAUUAGCAGAAAGCAAUGAUAUGAUAGAUAUGAAUAAUUGUUUUUUUUCUUCUUUAAAAAAUGUAUUUACUUUAAGAGAGUAUAGAGAACCCCUUAUUGGAUCGUACAAGGUCGAUAAAUUAACGAACGGAUCAAUGAGUCUACAUAUUUCAGAAAAUAGAAGGAUUGUAGACAAUAAAAAUCGAGAAGAGGAAAUCAUGUAUGCGAUACGAUACCCUAUACUACUUCUGAUAUCUGGAAGCCCAGUAGUGUGCCAAGAUCGAUUUGAUACUGAAAAAUAUCUGCAGAUAGGGUACAUAGGGGUAAAAGUAAUUACAAUGAAAAAGGUUGGAUUAGUGAUAGAGUAUGUAACAUUUUUGGACAUUGUUCCGGUUAAAAAUGAAAUAAGG